CCGCAUGGACGAAAGUCUGACGGAGCAAUGCCGCGUGAGUGAAGAAGGUUUUCGGAUCGUAAAACUCUGUUGUUAGAGAAGAACAAGGAUGAGAGUAACUGCUCAUCCCCUGACGGUAUCUAACCAGAAAGCCACGGCUAACUACGUGCCAGCAGCCGCGGUAAUACGUAGGUGGCAAGCGUUGUCCGGAUUUAUUGGGCGUAAAGCGAGCGCAGGCGGUUCUUUAAGUCUGAUGUGAAAGCCCCCGGCUCAACCGGGGAGGGUCAUUGGAAACUGGAGAACUUGAGUGCAGAAGAGGAGAGUGGAAUUCCAUGUGUAGCGGUGAAAUGCGUAGAUAUAUGGAGGAACACCAGUGGCGAAGGCGACUCUCUGGUCUGUAACUGACGCUGAGGCUCGAAAGCGUGGGGAGCAAACAGGAUUAGAUACCCUGGUAGUCCACGCUGUAAACGAUGAGUGCUAAGUGUUGGAGGGUUUCCGCCCUUCAGUGCUGCAGCUAACGCAUUAAGCACUCCGCCUGGGGAGUACGACCGCAAGGUUGAAACUCAAAGGAAUUGACGGGGGCCCCC
rnacentral:rRNA from 1 species